GGCCGGAGGGUGUUCCUAUAGGUGCUCAGACUCAAAGGAUUCUUCUGUGGCAGGACCUAAAUGGCAGGUCAAUCUGAGUAAGCAUGGCUGAAGCUAGGCAAGGCGUCAAUUUUAAUCAUUGAACCUUUUGAGCUUUCUUCAACUAAGAAUACACUCAGGAUUGGAUUGGUGUGGCAUUUUUGACGUGCAACAAUGAUGUAAUUUGCUUGAAUGUUCAUUUUUGUUUGAUAAGGAUACGUACUUUAUGGAGUUGCACUAGUUACUGUUGGAUGUUUGGUGGAAUUGAACAAGUUAUAACUUUUGGAUAUUUUGUGG